rnacentral:pre_miRNA from 1 species
AGUGGAAUUGCUGGGUCAUAUGCUAACUUUAUAUUUAACCUUUUAAGGAUCCACCAGACUGUUUUUCAAAGUGGCUGUACCAUUUACAUUCCCAAUGGCAAU